GGCAGCGAGCGCGGCGGGGCCGCGGCGGCGGCAGCGGGGCACGGCCGGCCACGGGCACGGCCCCGCCGGGAGGCUCCGCGGGACCCGCGCCGGGCGAGGCAGCCCCUCGCUCCCCGCCGCCUCCCCGCACAGGAUUAUUUUGCAGCUUAAAUAGUGGUUGUCCAAGUAACUUGCAUCAUGAAAUCCAGAAAUUCCUGGGUGGUGGAGGAAAUAGGAAUCGCUCCGCUGGAGGACAGAGAAACAUGACUACCUUUCUGUCACAGUGCUUUUGCCACGUUCAAUUUAAACCAUCCUGAAAGUGUACCAGUAGUCAGGCUCUGUGGUAGGUGACCAGCUGCUCUGCACCAAGGCCCUUGCAGUGAUGUAUUGUAGUCUGUUGCUGUAAACAUCCCCGACUGGAAGCUGUACCAGCUCCAGCUUUCAGUCAGAUGUUUGCUGCACCUGGCUAUGCUUGGACAACAGCAGAAGAAGCUGUCAAGAACACAUGAGCAUUUAUAUUUGUCAAGCAGUGUUUCUAUAGACAGAGAUGAAUUGCCUCCCCAUGAAUCAUCCUGGCUGGUAGGUGUGAUCUCCUGAAACCUAGUCUGAAAUGGAAAUCUUGAGCGGUGCAUGAGUUGCUCAAAGCUGAGUUCUUUGCUGCUUUGUGGCAUGAACUACAGGAUUAGGCUUUCUUGGAAUGGCAAGUGGUGAUGAACUACAGUUACCCAUGAACCCUUCAUUGCUUUAUCAAUUGUCUGUUUUAGCAGCUUUUGUUACUUAGGGCUGUGAGGACAAAUUAUUAUCAAUACUGGCAAAUAGCAGGCUCCUGUGUGUACCUGCUGUGCCUUGCUUUUUAUUGUUUCCUCUGGAGUUCUGUAUUCUGAGUCUCCUUGUGAGAAGGUUGUGCUCCUAAUUGUUUGCUAGCUGGGCAUAACCCAAGACCAAAAUAAAGGUUAAAAACACAUUGCCCAGUCUGGUUUUGCUGUUCUCCCAAUCCACAGUGUAUGUCCUUGUCUGUGGUGCCCCCACUAUGGUUUGCUUUUUAUGGCAAUAACAGCUUUUGAAAGUAUUCCUUCAAAAGUAAGUCUUCACUGGUUCAGUUCCUGAACAGCCACAUGCUGUUGCCUGGAUCUUGCCUGGGAUUUCUUUCCUUCUUUGUUUCACUCUAGUCUUCUGUUUCUAAAGGGAUGGCAAAUGAGAGUAACUGCUGCCAAUACAAAAAAUAUUCUUCCAAUAGUUUAAAAUAUUCUUCCAAUAAUCUAGCUCUCCAUUCUUUUGUCUCCCAAAAUGCUUUGGGUUUUUUUUUUUUUUUUUCAUUCCUUAACACUUAAAUGAAAGACUUUGUAAGUGAUAGUAUACCAAACCUAGGUAUUUAUUUGUUUAGCUUCACUAUAGUGGUUCUGUAAAAGAUGAUUAUGACCAAAAAUACAGAUACUUUUAAAAAGUAAAUUAUUUUCUCCUUCACUUAUCAGAAUUAAAAGUAGGAGGAUUUCUUAGCUCUGAGAAAGAUGGACUACCAAGCAUUGGAAAGGUGAUGAUUUUGAAUUUGUCAGUGAAUGACCAAAGGUGAAACAAGGAAAGCCAUUUUUCUGUGAUGGUUCCAUUGCUGUAACCAUUUUGUUUCUUACCCUGUGUUCUGUCUGGUGACAUAGGAUGAUGGAAGGUUGUGACCUUAUUUAUUGAUCUAGUUCAUUGCUAGCACCUCUACAAAGUUUUUUAAAGCAACUUGCAUACCUAAUACAACCUCAGUUAAAAUUGCUUUUUUAAAAAGAACUGUCUGUUUGGUUUGAUAAAUCAUGGCUGUAUAUUUAUAAAAAGGACUUUGAUGCAGAAACUACAGAGCUUGAUUUCUUAAAAAAAAAUAAUCUGGUAGUUGUUUUCCAAGUCUGCUUUGCUGUAAAUAUUUAGCAUUUCUUAGUUCUAGAUAGUAUUUAGGCUUAGAAGAAAGGAAGUGUUUUUUGUUAACAAACUUCUUUGUUCAAAGUAAAUGUCUUAUAAUUAAUCUAGUGUUCAUUUUGGUUAGUGCUGUCAACCAUCCCACAUGCCAGUUAAGUGCUGCCUUUUUUUUUUUUUUUUUUUUUUUUUAAUAAGCUUAGUUCGUGUGCAGUUUGUCAGUCCAGUCUUGUGGAAUUGAACUUGUGUGUACCUUCAUAUUGUACUGGUGUCUAAUCCAUGUACUCAAACACAGCUGUCACAUGUCAGCAGAUGAAAAUAAUUUGAAGUGGCUUGUAACCACAGAAAAUAAAUAAUUUUAAAAUCCA